AGAAUGGAUAUCCUCGUUCUUGAUCUUAGGGGAAAAGCAUUCAGCCUCUCAUCAUCAGACAGAGUCUCUCUUGCUCAGGCUGGAGUGCAAUGAUGUGAUCUUUGCUCACCACAACCUCCGCCUCCUGUGUUCAAGCGAUUCUCUUGCCUCAACCUCCAGAGUAGCUGGGAUUACAGGGGCCAAAAACUGGCUGGGGAGCUGGGCGAUGGGCUCGGAGGCAGGAGAGAGAGCAGUACCAGAGAUUCGCUCUUGUUACCCAGGCUGGAGUGCAAUGGUGCGAUCUCGGCUCACCGCAACCUCUGCCUCCUGGGUUCAGGCAAUUCUCC
rnacentral:lncRNA from 13 species